UUAAGUGACCUUUAGGAUUCUUCUCUUCUCCCUCUCACAAUCGUGAAGCAGCAAUGGCGCCGGGGAAAGCCUUUCUCCUCUAACGGAACCGACUUCAUCACACAGCCACCGUGAACAUACGAAUUAUCACCUCUCAUCUCGACUCUCUUCUAUCUCUGGUCUCCACGCGUUCUCAAUCUCUCUCUUCUCAAAUCCCAGGUUCUCUCUCGGUUCUCUCCGAUCAAUCGAAAUCACGCCUCAACAAGAACAGAACACGACGAUUGUAGGCUUUACUGAUCAGAGAAGCUUUGACGGCUUCUUUCACGGCGGGAGACAGAAGAGAAAAAACGAAGGUCACCACUCAGGUUGAAGGUUCCUUCUGAGUUUGUGAAGACUUGAAGGAUCGAUCGAAGAAGAUGAAAAGGGGAUGCCGUUUUCUUUUUCUUCUGCAGAUUGAUGAAUGGUGACUGAAGGUUAAAGAAAAACAGUUAUGGCGAAAGGUUGAAUGAAGAUUGGAUCGAAAGAGAUGGGGGUAAAGGGAAGGAUUUCUGUUAGAGGUUGUUAUGAGGUGAAUUUGAGAGAAGGAUUUCUGUUAACGGACAAGGUUUUGAAGAUGCAAAACUCAUAAUUGAAGCCAUAAAAAGUAAAGGUGUUGCAUCUGUCGGGGCUGCUGGAUUUUGUUGGGGUGCUUAGGUUGUUACCAUCAAUUUAAGCAUGCUUGUAUGUUUUCAAGAAAUAGGCCUAUUGUCAUUUCCUUAGUGACCAUAUUUAUCUUCAUACUGUGUUUGAAAUACCACAAAUGGAGGAUCUUCCACAAGGUUACCGUCCUAAAGUUGGUGUCUGUCUCAUCAACUCUGAUGAUCAGGUCUGAAAUUGAUCAUUUGAUAGCCCUUAUGCAGUCAAGGACUGUAGAUGCACCUAUUAGGGGAGAAGAGUCCAGAAGUGGUUCCUUAGAACCUAUGUUAUCUUCUGGACAAAAGGAAGAAUAUCCCAAAAACACCUACUGUAGAAAAUGGGAUUGAAAACAAUCUUGUAUUAUCUCGACAUGUUGCUCCGAGUCUCAUGAAAAUGGUUUUGUGACCCCAAGACCUCGUGGCAGAUCUGCAAUAUAUGGUAUGGCACGUACACCGAUGGUGUGUGUUUGAUGACUACCGAUGGUGGUCAAGAAGCACCACACACCACUGCUGAAGGUUAAGUUAUAUGCUGACAACUUUAAAUGGAAGGGUCCACCCAAGACUGCUGACCAGUGAUCAAGUGCUUUUUGUGAUGACUUGUUAUUUAUUUUUCAAAGGUUCUUCAUACAGAACAUAUGCUAGAACCUAAACAUUUUUUUGUCGUGUCGGGGCCGGAGCAGGAGCUCUUGAGGUAUGAUACUGUUACUGUUUUUUGUGUGUGAUGGUGGUAACUUAUAUCAUAGUCUCAGUAAUGAAAAUUAUGAUUUAUCUAUGUUCCGAUAGACUGGACUUUUGAAUUAUGAUAAAAUUAAUCUUUGAUGCUUAUGAUAGAAAAUUGAUGUCAGUGUUGUCAAUGUUGGAUGAUGGAUGAUGCCAUGAUCUGGCAAAUAAGUAUGGUGUUGUGGCCUAUGGUGGUAAUGCCAUGGUGACAAUUUUGACAACACUGGUUAAUGCUAAUCUGCAUUGUAUAUACAUUUGUGAAUGGUGGUAAUAAACAAAUGGUAGAUAAAAUAGAGAUGAUUGGUGCUUUAUUUUUAAUAAGGUGUUCUUAGACUAGAUCUUAGUGUGUGUGCAUGUAAUUGGGGUUUGAAUUGAGGUUCUUCAUUUUUUCACAUUGUUUGUGUUAUAAAUAAUUUGCAUGUGGCUCUAAAGUUUGAGCAUAAAAGUAGUAAAGGGUGUAAUUAUGGACCUCAUUCUGAGUGACAGGUUUACAAGUGAGUGUGCACUAAUUUUUUUCCUUUCAAGGUUCAGUAGAUUUAUUACAGUUGUAUGUAACUAAAGUCAUGUUUUUGUUUGUUUGUUUGUAUGUAGUGUAUUAGGUGGUAGUCAUGGUGUCCCACGAGUUCAUUACAAAGGACGACAAGGUCAUGGAUUUCUAGCAAUUAGUUAUCCUUCCUAUAAUUGUAAUAUGAGUGGAGCUUAUCAUUGUAAAGUCUCAUCAUACAUUUAGAAAUCAAAAUUCUAACAAGGAACAUUUCAUAAUUGUUAUGAAAUUAUGACAAUAGUUAUUAUGAAUGUAAUUAUACAAUGUGUCUUAUAUACUUUAUUUUACAACUUCAUUUUUUGUUUUC